rfam:Triticum aestivum genome assembly, contig: Triticum_aestivum_CS42_TGACv1_scaffold_486323_6AS
GUAAUACUCACUUAGUCCGAAAAUACUUGUUGGAGAAAUGAAUGUAUCUAGACGUAUUUUAAUUCUAGAUACAUCCAUUUUUAUCUAUUUCUACAAGAAGUAAUUUCGGGCGAAGGGAGUAUAUU